rnacentral:rRNA from 1 species
GACGAACGCUGGCGGCGUGCUUAACACAUGCAAGUCGAACGGAAAGGCCCUGCUUUUGUGGGGUGCUCGAGUGGCGAACGGGUGAGUAACACGUGAGUAACCUGCCCUUGACUUUGGGAUAACUUCAGGAAACUGGGGCUAAUACCGGAUAGGAGCUCCUGCUGCAUGGUGGGGGUUGGAAAGUUUCGGCGGUUGGGGAUGGACUCGCGGCUUAUCAGCUUGUUGGUGGGGUAGUGGCUUACCAAGGCUUUGACGGGUAGCCGGCCUGAGAGGGUGACCGGCUACAUUGGGACUGAGAUACGGCCCAGACUCCUACGGGAGGCAGCAGUGGGGAAUAUUGCACAAUGGGCGGAAGCCUGAUGCAGCAACGCCGCGUGCGGGAUGACGGCCUUCGGGCUGUAAACCGCUUUCGCCUGUGACGAAGCGUGAGUGACGGUAAUGGGUAAAGAAGCACCGGCUAACUACGUG